UGUGUUAGUGUGUGGUGGUGGUGUGUUAGUGUGUUGCUGAUCUGAAGCUGAUCUGUGUGUGUGUUUAUUUUUGUGUGUAUGUGUAUUUAUUUGUGUGUGUGUGUGUGUGUAUGUAUGUGUGUGUUUGUGUGUAUGUAUGUGUGUGUAUGUGUGCGUGUGUGUGUGUGUGUGUGUGUAUGUGUGCAUGUGUGUGUGAUUCUCUCUCAUUCUCAUGUCCACAUGUCUCUCGUCCCGCCUCUUUGCCCCAUGUACACACACUCAACAUGCACGCUCUCUCUCUCACACAGAGGAAUACACACACACACACACACACACACGCUCUGUCAGAGCAACACACACACACACACACACACACACACACAUGCUCUCACAGAGGAACACACACACACACACGCUCUCUCAGACGAACACACACAGAACAUUAGAAGAUGUCGGAUUCAGAGACCGCUGUUCCCACUGAGAGCCCAGUUCCUGCUCCCUGCCAGACCAUCAAGGCCGAUCUGGAUAAAUGUAUAAAGGAGAAAGGAGAAUCUGCGUGUAAGGAGCUGAUGGAGGCGUUCACUGCCUGUGUAAAGAGCAAAGCUACAGCAUCAUGAGGCGCUCCGAUGCACAGGACAGGUCCUCCACAUUCCCAGCAUUCCCUGCAGCACUUGGGCGGGAUUUGACAACAGAAACCCCCUACUCCACUUCCCUUACCCUUGUCUCCCCCUGUAAGGUUAAGAUGGCAUCUUCCUUCCCUCCCUCUCCCUCAUGACCCGAUGAUCUGAUCUGAUCUGAUCUGAUGUGGAGGCAGUUUGGGGAUCUUGUGUUUUUUUAAUGUAAAUUGUUUGUUUGAGAUUCUUCCAUAAUGAUGAAAUAAAGUUUCAGACAUCAGUACCGUGUUUGUUUUUGUCC